rnacentral:tRNA from 1 species
GCUGCUGUAGCUCAGGCGGUAGAGCGACGGGUUGAAGCCCCGUGCGCGCUGGUUCGACUCCAGCCGGCAGCA